UACAGUUCACAAGAAAUGAGUUAGCGU
rnacentral:sRNA from 1 species